GACGUAGGUGGCGAGCGUUGUUCGGAAUCACUGGGCAUAAAGCGCACGUAGGCGGCUGAGUAAAUCGGAUGUGAAAUACCUCAACUCAACCGAGGAACUGCGUCCGAUACUGCUCAGCUUGAGGUCCGGAGGGGAGAGUGGAAUUCCCGGUGGAGCGGUGAAAUGCGUAGAGAUCGGGAAGAACGCCGGCGGCGAAAGCGACUCUCUGGUCGGAAUCUGACGCUGAGGUGCGAAAGCUAGGGGAGCAAACGGG
rnacentral:rRNA from 1 species